AUGUCAUAACAAACCAUCCAGAGGUAUAGCUAUUUGACCACAUCAUAGCUGCAAUGUGAAUUUGUCAAGGCAGCAUAGGAACUCAAAACAUGUGAAUUUGAAUACUAUUUUAUCACCAUCAGUUCUUACUAAGUCACGGGAUUUUUUUUGUCAACAGGAAAAGAAGUUGGAAGAAGAGGAUGAAGCACUCAUAAAAUCAUUUUUUGGAGCACCAAGAGAGGUCGUUCGCAGGAUCGAUGAUGAUAUUCUUGAUGAUGAUGAAGAUUUAUCUCAGAUUUCAACUGACAAUGCUAAAACAUCAAACAAUAAUUCAAAAGUAUGAUCCUUUUCUAAUAAUUUGGUUAUAUGAUCAAUAUGUAUGUAAUGAAUGGUUUGAAAAAUGACAAGAGGAUAAAAAAGGAUGAAGAUUUUAAGAGAUAUAAAUUGGCGAAUAAGGAGGUUAAAAGGAUAAUUAGGGAUGCUAAGCUAAAAGCCUACACCAAUCUUUAUUCUAGAUUAGAUAGUAAAGAUGGAGAAAAUAAUAUUUAUAAAUUUCCUAAA